rnacentral:rRNA from 1 species
GACAGAGGUGCCGAGCGUUAGGCGGAAUCAGCUGGGCUUAAAGCGUGUGUAGGCGGAUGCCUAAGGUACCUUGUGAAAUCCCACGGCUCAACCGUGGAAACUGCUUGGUAUACUGGGUGUCUUGGAGCUAUCUCAGGGGCAACUGGAACAAACGGUGGAGCGGUGAAAUGCGUAGAUAUCGUUUGGAACGCCAAUGGUGAAAACAGGUUGCUGGGGAUAUGCUGACGCUGAGACACGAAGGCCAGGGGAGCAAACGGG